rnacentral:rRNA from 1 species
GUCUACGGCCAUACCACCCUGAACGCGCCUGAUCUCUUCUGAUCUCGGAAAAUAAGCAGGGUCGUGCCUGGUUAGUACUUGGAUGGGAGACAAAUUCUGUAACUUGAUCUCUAAGCCU